GCAAAACGUACAGUGCUAAAUCACAGCAUAUGCUGCCUCGGAGGAAAAUGCUGAAGACUGGACGUACAACAGUAUAUGGGCGCCCCCUAGCGUUUGGAUUAUUUCUGCUGAAAUCGCUCUUUAAGGUGGAAGAGCCAUCUUAAAUGGAAACUACAUCGGUCGCUCGCCUCUCACAUACACCAAAGUAACAUGCGCCUAUUUUAAUCUGAUUAAUGCUUUUGAGAUUUCCUUCUAAUUGACUUGGACGUUGCAGAGGUGCGCGUGUAGGUCUCUUCCACACGUUUUCUCCACAGUGUUGUUCACGCACGGGAGUAUUGCAGCGUUUCGGUUAAUUUUGGCCAGUUUAUUGAAACGAUCAAAAGUGAGCACCGUACCUCAUCUCUGACCAUUCAAAAGCCUGUAUGUGAACAAGACAGCCGAAAGCAAUACCGCAGAAGUAAAUUAUAGCGUACCGAUGUAAAGUGGAUUUUACUCCAAGAUCAAGGUAGAAUGCGACGUUCUGGCAGACUAGCUGUGCAUUGUCUCAGACCUCUGCAGGACUGUGACGAGGGCAGAGGACACGGCCGCUGUGGGAACUAAAGAAUGCUGAGUGGUGACGUUGACAUCAACACCAAUGCAUGAUGGGAGGAAGAACUUCACGCCAAGAUCUCACAAUGACAAAGCAGGGAAGGUAGGCCUUAAUAUAUGCUUUUGAACCACUGGAGCAACUAACCUGUAAUAGAUUCUUUUAUAGGCAAAUGGAUCAUUGGCUCCAGUGACAACGACAGCUUGAAAUCAACUAUGUACGUAUUGUAAUUCUGUGAAUACUGUUAUGAUGUAUGAUUAAAUAAUGCAACUCGGUGAGAAGCAGCAUUGUAUUUUUCUAAAGAUGGAUGCAUUGAAAGAAAAUCUUAGAAAUGUUUAAUUAUCAGCAGAAGUAAAUAAACAUGGGUCUUAUAUA